GAUGAAGAACGUAGCGAAAUGCGAUACUUGGUGUGAAUUGCAGAAUCCCGUGAACCAUCGAGUCUUUGAACGCAAGUUGCGCCCGAAGCCAUUAGGCCGAGGGCACGCCUGCCUGGGCGUCACACGUCGUUGCCCCCCCAUCUACUCCUUCGGGAUUGCGAGGGGCGGAUGAUGGCCUCCCGUGCGCCUCGUCGCGCGGUUGGCAUAAAUGCCAAGUCCUCGGCGACGCACGCCACGACAAUCGGUGGUUGCGAAACCUCGGUUGCCCGUCGUGUGCGGUCGUUGCGCAUCGAGGGCUCGAAAAAAUUGCCGGGCUCCGGCUCGGCUUUCAACGCGACCCCAGGUCAGGCGGGGUUACCCGCUGAAUUUAAGCAUAUCAAUAAGCGGAGGA
rnacentral:misc_RNA from 1 species